CAAGCAGGCGUCUAUAGCUGUG
rnacentral:siRNA from 1 species